CGAGGUAGCAAUACCUAGCGGCAGACGGGUGCGUAACAUGUGGGAAUCUGCCUUUUGGUUCGGAACAACACGGGGAAACCUGUGCUAAUACCGGAUAAGUCCUUACGGAGAAAGUUUUAAUGCCAAAAGAUGAGCCCGCAUUUGAUUAGCUAGUUGGUAAGGUAAAAGCUUACCAAGGCGACAAUCAAUAGGUGAUCUGAGAGGAUGAUCAGCCACAUUGGAACUGAGAUACGGUCCAAACUUC
rnacentral:rRNA from 1 species